rnacentral:rRNA from 1 species
AUGAGGGCUUUUGCGACCGCAGCUUGGGUGGUGUUGCUGCUCGCGGCGGCGGCGCUCGUCUCUGUCUCCUCGGCAUCCGCUUCGAUCUCGGCCUCCGUGGACCCAUCAGGUUGCAAUGCCACCCAGCUGGCCACCGCUAUUGUCAAGAACUGUGUGGAAGAGUUUGAGCCAACCAAUGCCGCUGCCUGCUGUUCCUCGGUUCUGCCCACAGUGGACAUGGCCGGCUGCCUCUGCUUGGUGGUCGAUGAGCCUCAGCUGGCGCUAUCGGGCACCACCUCCCAGGCCGUGUUCAGUCUUUACCUGAAGUGUGGAGGUAAGAGACGUUCCCAGGACAAGCCGUACGAGGCAUGCGAUGAUUUCUUUGCGACGUCUCCGCCAUCCCUGCCAGCGCCCGCCAGUCCGGCGCCUCCUGCAUCACCAAGGGACAUGUACUACCCUCCAACUCCCGUCAAUGAGGAUUCAAGUUACAAGAUCGAGUUGUCCACAGAUGUUGGCGUUUGGGUGACCGUGAUAGUCUACCUGAUUGUCAUGGGCUUCGCAGUUUACGAGCGUCUGACUCGUGGAGGAAAUGACAACGAGGGUGGGCAAGAGGUGAACAAUGACCAGGAUCCAGAGGGGCAAGGAAACCCUCGGCCGGACGGAGCUGCUUGA